rnacentral:rRNA from 1 species
AGAACGAACGCUGGCGGCAGGCUUAACACAUGCAAGUCGAGCGCCCUGCAAGGGGAGCGGCGGACGGGUGAGUAACACGUGGGAACAUGCCCUUUGGUUCGGAACAACUCAGGGAAACUUGAGCUAAUACCGAAUGUGCCGGUAACGGGAAAGAUUUAUCGCCAAGGGAUUGGCCCGCGUCCGAUUAGCUAGUUGGUGAGGUAAAGGCUCACCAAGGCUCCGAUCGGUAGCUGGUUUGAGAGAACGACCAGCCACACUGGGACUGAGACACGGCCCAGACUCCUACGGGAGGCAGCAGUGGGGAAUCUUGGACAUGGGGAACCUGAUCCAGCCAUGCCGCGUGAGUGGUGAAGGCCUUCGGGUUGUAAACUCUUUCGACGGGGACGAUAAUGACGGUACCGUAGAAGAAGCUCCGGCUAACUUCGUGCCAGCAGCCGC